rnacentral:rRNA from 1 species
AUACGUAGGGGGCAAGCGUUAUCCGGAUUUACUGGGCGUAAAGAGCUCGUAGGUGGUUUGUCGCGUCGUCUGUGAAAUUCCGGGGCUUAACUCCGGGCGUGCAGGCGAUACGGGCAUAACUUGAGUACUGUAGGGGAGACUGGAAUUCCUGGUGUAGCGGUGAAAUGCGCAGAUAUCAGGAGGAACACCGGUGGCGAAGGCGGGUCUCUGGGCAGUAACUGACGCUGAGGAGCGAAAGCAUGGGUAGCGAACAGGAUUAGAUCCCCUGGUAGUCCAUGCCGUAAACGGUGGGCGCUAGGUGUAGGGGUCUUCCACGACUUCUGUGCCGUAGCUAACGCAUUAAGCGCCCCGCCUGGGGAGUACGGCCGCAAGGCUAAAACUCAAAUGAAUUGACGGGG